GUUCAUUCGGAUGAGUUCCAGCGGACUGAACGCUCACACAACAGCGAGGCUGUGUCCGUGUGUAGGACUUCACCAUCUUCAUCAUCAUCCUCAUCAUCAUCAUCAUCAUCAUCAUCAUCAUCAUCAUCAUCAUCACCAUCCUCAGAUGAAAUAAGAGGGCCUCCAAGCUACACGCCACAGGGUUUCCUAGCUACCCACGACAUGGUCUCCUAGGAACACUUCAGGGUCGCCUAGAUACAGAACAGUGUCUCCUAGCAGCACACUACAGGGCCUCAUAGCAACACUACAGGGGAUCCAAGCUACAGUACAGGGUCUCCUAGCAACACUCCAGAGUCUCCUAGCAACACACUACAGGGUCUCCUAGCAACACACUCCAGGGUCUCCCAACAACACUACAGGGUCUCCUAGCAACACACUACAGUGUCUCUUCCCUAAUUAUUUUUGUACGGUUCUUUUUUUCCUUUUAAAGUCUGCUUGAGGAGACAUCCAAAACAACCUGAUGAUGUCAUCACAAUAUCCAAUAAAAAUAAUUAUCUGUUAUAUCUCUCAUAUUUACGGCAGAGAAAUGAAUGUCGCAUUAAAAACUUAAAACCACAAAUUCCUUGCAUUUGAAAGCUUUCCUGUCACUUUAACUCUGAUUCCUGUUGUCUAGUUAAGAUUAAUAAAGAUAU
ensembl:lncRNA